rnacentral:rRNA from 1 species
UACGGAGGGAGCUAGCGUUGUCCGGAAUUAUUGGGCGUAAAGAGCUCGUAGGCGGUUCGUCACGUCGGCUGUGAAAUCCCGAGGCUCAACCUCGGGUCUGCAGUCGAUACGGGCGGACUGGAGUACUGCAGGGGAGACUGGAAUUCCUGGUGUAGCGGUGAAAUGCGCAGAUAUCAGGAGGAACACCGGUGGCGAAGGCGGGUCUCUGGGCAGUAACUGACGCUGAGGAGCGAAAGCGUGGGGAGCGAACAGG